rnacentral:rRNA from 1 species
UGGCGGCGUGCGUUACACAUGCAAGUCGAACGGUCUAAUGCUUAACACUGAGUGUUCAGUAAGAGUUGGGACAGCGAGAGCGCGAAGAAUGAGCGCUCCACGCAUUAAUAAAGUGCCWACACAUUAUUGGAACGCUGAAUGUUGAGUGUUAAGUAUUAGAUAGUGGCGGACGGGUGAGUAACGCGUGGGUAACSUACCCAUAAAGCCGGGACAACCCUUGGAAACGAGGGCUAAUACCGGAUAAUCUUAGAUGUUGGCAUCAACGUUUAAGGAAAGGUGGCCUCUGAAAAUGCUACCGAUUAUGGAUGGACCCGCGUCUGAUUAGCUAGUUGGUGGGGUAAAGGCCUACCAAGGCGACGAUCAGUAGCCGGCCUGAGAGGGUGAACGGCCACACUGGGACUGAGACACGGCCCAGACUCCUACGGGAGGCAGCAGUGGGGAAUCUUCCGCAAUGGACGAAAGUCUGACGGAGCAACGCCGCGUGUAUGAUGAAGGUCUUCGGAUUGUAAAGUACUGUCUUUGGGGAAGAACGAUCUCUUUGAGAAUAUUGAGGGGAUAUGACGGUACCCAAGGAGGAAGCCCCGGCUAACUACGUGCCAGCAGCCGCGGUAAUACGUAGGGGGCAAGCGUUGUCCGGAAUUAUGGGGCGUACAGGGCGCGUAGGCGGGUAUUUAAGUCUGGUGUGAAAGAUCACGGCUCAACCCUGAGAG